rnacentral:rRNA from 3 species
UUUGGUGGCGAUGCGCUUAGGGGAAACACCCGUUCCCAUCCCGAACACGAUGGUUAAGACCUAAGCGGCCGAUGGUACUAUGCUGGAGACGGCAUGGGAGAGUAGGUGGCCGCCAAUU